UAGCUUAGUCGGUAGAGCACAAGACUCUUAACCUUGAGAUUGUGGGUUCAAGCCCCAU
rfam:Zea mays cultivar B73 chromosome 10, whole genome shotgun sequence.